UACGUAGGGGGCUAGCGUUGUCCGGAUUUAUUGGGCGUAAAGAGCGUGUAGGCGGCCAUGUAGGUCCGGUGUGAAAACUCGAGGCUUAACCUCGAGAUGUCAUCGGAAACCAUUUGGCUAGAGUCCGGAAGAGGAGAGUGGAAUUCCUGGUGUAGCGGUGAAAUGCGCAGAUAUCAGGAAGAACACCAAUGGCGAAAGCAGCUCUCUGGGACGGUACUGACGCUGAGGCACGAAAGCGUGGGGAGCAAACAGG
rnacentral:rRNA from 1 species